rnacentral:pre_miRNA from 1 species
GAAGUUGCCCAUGUUCUUUUCGCUGAUAUGUGACGAAACAAACAUGGUGCACUUCUU